rnacentral:misc_RNA from 1 species
CGAAAUGCGAUAAGUAAUGUGAAUUGCAGAAUUCCGUGAAUCAUCGAAUCUUUGAACGCACAUUGCGCCCUCUGGUAUUCCGGGGGGCAUGCCUGUCCGAGCGUCAUUGCGAACCCUCAAGCACGGCUUGUGUGAUGGGCCCUCCCGCGUCUUGGUCGUCAAGACGGGCCCGAAAAGCAGUGGCGGCUUCGCGGUUAUCCGAUCAGCCAGAGCGUAUGGGGACUUUCUCUCUGUCACACGCCCGCGGCGCGGACCGACGCCUGUCGACCUUUAUUCAUCUUUUUCUCGGUUGACCUCGGAUCAGGUAGGGAUACCCGCUGAACUUAAGC